rnacentral:rRNA from 1 species
GACCCCAGUCAGGCGGGAAACCCAG